rnacentral:rRNA from 1 species
UAUCAUUAACUGAAUCCAUAGGUUAAUGAGGCGAACCGGGGGAACUGAAACAUCUAAGUACCCCGAGGAAAAGAAAUCAACCGAGAUUCCCCCAGUAGCGGCGAGCGAACGGGGAGGAGCCCAGAGCCUGAAUCAGCAUGUGUGUUAGUGGAAGCGUCUGGAAAGGCGCGCGAUACAGGGUGACAGCCCCGUACACAAAAGCGCAUGUGCUGUGAGCUCGAUGAGUAGGGCGGGACACGUGGUAUCCUGUCUGAAUAUGGGGGGACCAUCCUCCAAGGCUAAAUACUCCUGACUGACCGAUAGUGAACCAGUACCGUGAGGGAAAGGCGAAAAGAACCCCGGCGAGGGGAGUGAAAAAGAACCUGAAACCGUGUACGUACAAGCAGUGGGAGCACAGGUUUACCUGUGUGACUGCGUACCUUUUGUAUAAUGGGUCAGCGACUUAUAUUCUGUAGCAAGGUUAACCGAAUAGGGGAGCCGGAGGGAAACCGAGUCUUAAUUGGGCGUUAAGUUGCAGGGUAUAGACCCGAAACCCGGUGAUCUAGCCAUGGGCAGGUUGAAGGUUGGGUAACACUAACUGGAGGACCGAACCGACUAAUGUUGAAAAAUUAGCGGAUGACCUGUGGCUGGGGGUGAAAGGCCAAUCAAACCGGGAGAUAGCUGGUUCUCCCCGAAAGCUAUUUAGGUAGCGCCUCGUGAAUUCAUCUCCGGGGGUAGAGCACUGUUUCGGCUAGGGGGCCAUCCCGGCUUACCAACCCGAUGCAAACUGCGAAUACCGGAGAAUGUUAUCACGGGAGACACACGGCGGGUGCUAACGUCCGUCGUGAAGAGGGAAACAACCCAGACCGCCAGCUAAGGUCCCAAAGUCAUGGUUAAGUGGGAAACGAUGUGGGAAGGCCCAGACAGCCAGGAUGUUGGCUUAGAAGCAGCCAUCAUUUAAAGAAAGCGUAAUAGCUCACUGGUCGAGUCGGCCUGCGCGGAAGAUGUAACGGGGCUAAACCAUGCACCGAAGCUGCGGCAGCGACACUGUGUGUUGUUGGGUAGGGGAGCGUUCUGUAAGCCUGUGAAGGUGUGUCGUGAGGC